rnacentral:rRNA from 1 species
AUUGAACGCUGGCGGCAUGCCUUACACAUGCAAGUCGAACGGCAGCACGGGAGCAAUCCUGGUGGCGAGUGGCGAACGGGUGAGUAAUGUAUCGGAACGUGCCCAGUCGUGGGGGAUAACGCAGCGAAAGCUGUGCUAAUACCGCAUACGAUCUAUGGAUGAAAGCGGGGGAUCGCAAGACCUCGCGCGAUUGGAGUGGCCGAUAUCAGAUUAGCUAGUUGGUGGGGUAAAAGCUUACCAAGGCGACGAUCUGUAGCUGGUCUGAGAGGACGACCAGCCACACUGGAACUGAGUCACGGUCCAGACUCCUACGGGAGGCAGCAGUGGGGAAUUUUGGACAAUGGGCGCAAGCCUGAUCCAACAAUGCCGCGUGCAGGAUGAAGGCCUUCGGGUUGUAGACUGCUUUUGUACGGAGCGAAAAGGCUCUCUCUAAUACAGGGGGCUCAUGACGGUACCGUAAGAAUAAGCACCGGCUAACUACGUGCCAGCAGCCGCCGUAA